UGGGGAAUAUUGGACAAUGGGCGAAAGCCUGAUCCAGCCAUGCCGCGUGUGUGAAGAAGGUCUUCGGAUUGUAAAGCACUUUAAGUUGGGAGGAAGGGCAGUAAGCGAAUACCUUGCUGUUUUGACGUUACCGACAGAAUAAGCACCGGCUAACUCUGUGCCAUCAGCCGCUGUAAUACAGAGGGUGCAAGCGUCAAUCGGAAUUACUGGGCGUAAAGCGCGCGUAGGUGGUUCGUUAAGUUGAAUGUGAAAGCCCCGGGCUCAACCUGGGAACUGCAUACAAAACUGGCGAGUUAGAGUAGGGCAGAGGGUGGUGGAAUUUCCUGUGUAGCGGUGAAAUGCUUGGAUAUAGGAAGGAACACCAGUGGCGAAGGCGACCACCUGGGCUCAUACUGACACUGAGGUGCGAAGGCGUGGGGAGCAAACAGG
rnacentral:rRNA from 1 species